rnacentral:lncRNA from 1 species
CGGAAGUGCGUCCGUCCUGGCGAGGAAGGAAGGAGGGCGCGGGACGCCGGAGGGAGCUGCGCGGGGCCGAGGCUCCCACGCUUGCAAUCCCAAGGGACCCAGGGCCAAGGGCGCAGUAAGGGUGUGGGCUGGGAGGAGGGAGGGGUCGGGACGAGACGUGCCUGAGGGGAGGGAAGACACGGACUCCGGUUUAUUAAUAAACAUCUACGGUUUGUACGGCA